GACAGCAGCAUGGCCACCUGUAGCCUGAUCUCAUCAGAUCUCAGAAGCUAAACAAGGAUGGGCAUAGUCAGUCCUGGGAUGUGAUCUCUAAGGAAAACCUGGAGCUGCUGUCC
rnacentral:rRNA from 1 species